UGGGGAAUUUUGGACAAUGGGCGCAAGCCUGAUCCAGCCAUGCCGCGUGAGUGAAGAAGGCCUUCGGGUUGUAAAGCUCUUUCGGCCGGGAAGAAAUCGCACGCUCUAACAUAGCGUGUGGAUGACGGUACCGGACUAAGAAGCACCGGCUAACUACGUGCCAGCAGCCGCGGUAAUACGUAGGGUGCGAGCGUUAAUCGGAAUUACUGGGCGUAAAGCGUGCGCAGGCGGUUUUGUAAGACAGAUGUGAAAUCCCCGGGCUUAACCUGGGAACUGCGUUUGUGACUGCAAGGCUAGAGUACGGCAGAGGGGGGUGGAAUUCCUGGUGUAGCAGUGAAAUGCGUAGAUAUCAGGAGGAACACCGAUGGCGAAGGCAGCCCCCUGGGCCUGUACUGACGCUCAUGCACGAAAGCGUGGGGAGCAAACAGG
rnacentral:rRNA from 1 species